rnacentral:rRNA from 1 species
GGGUUGUGAGGUUAAGCGACUAAGCGUACACGGUGGAUGCCCUGGCAGUCAGAGGCGAUGAAGGACGUGCUAAUCUGCGAUAAGCGUCGGUAAGGUGAUAUGAACCGUUAUAACCGGCGAUUUCCGAAUGGGGAAACCCAGUGUGAUUCGUCACACUAUCAUUAACUGAAUCCAUAGGUUAAUGAGGCGAACCGGGGGAACUGAAACAUCUAAGUACCCCGAGGAAAAGAAAUCAACCGAGAUUCCCCCAGUAGCGGCGAGCGAACGGGGAGCAGCCCAGAGCCUGAAUCAGUGUGUGUGUUAGUGGAAGCGUCUGGAAAGGCGCGCGAUACAGGGUGACAGCCCCGUACACAAAAAUACACAUACUGUGAGCUCGAUGAGUAGGGCGGGACACGUGGUAUCCUGUCUGAAUAUGGGGGGACCAUCCUCCAAGGCUAAAUACUCCUGACUGACCGAUAGUGAACCAGUACCGUGAGGGAAAGGCGAAAAGAACCCCGGCGAGGGGAGUGAAAAAGAACCUGAAACCGUGUACGUACAAGCAGUGGGAGCACAGAGCAAUCUGUGUGACUGCGUACCUUUUGUAUAAUGGGUCAGCGACUUAUAUUCUGUAGCAAGGUUAACCGAAUAGGGGAGCCGAAGGGAAACCGAGUCUUAACUGGGCGUUAAGUUGCAGGGUAUAGACCCGAAACCCGGUGAUCUAGCCAUGGGCAGGUUGAAGGUUGGGUAACACUAACUGGAGGACCGAACCGACUAAUGUUGAAAAAUUAGCGGAUGACUUGUGGCUGGGGGUGAAAGGCCAAUCAAACCGGGAGAUAGCUGGUUCUCCCCGAAAGCUAUUUAGGUAGCGCCUCGUGAAUUCAUCUCUGGGGGUAGAGCACUGUUUCGGCAAGGGGGUCAUCCCGACUUACCAACCCGAUGCAAACUGCGAAUACCGGAGAAUGUUAUCACGGGAGACACACGGCGGGUGCUAACGUCCGUCGUGAAGAGGGAAACAACCCAGACCGCCAGCUAAGGUCCCAAAGUCAUGGUUAAGUGGGAAACGAUGUGGGAAGGCUCAGACAGCCAGGAUGUUGGCUUAGAAGCAGCCAUCAUUUAAAGAAAGCGUAAUAGCUCACUGGUCGAGUCGGCCUGCGCGGAAGAUGUAACGGGGCUAAACCAUGCACCGAAGCUGCGGCAGCGACACUAUGUGUUGUUGGGUAGGGGAGCGUUCUGUAAGCCUGUGAAGGUGUACUGUGAGGUAUGCUGGAGGUAUCAGAAGUGCGAAUGCUGACAUAAGUAACGAUAAAGCGGGUGAAAAGCCCGCUCGCCGGAAGACCAAGGGUUCCUGUCCAACGUUAAUCGGGGCAGGGUGAGUCGACCCCUAAGGCGAGGCCGAAAGGCGUAGUCGAUGGGAAACAGGUUAAUAUUCCUGUACUUGGUGUUACUGCGAAGGGGGGACGGAGAAGGCUAUGUUGGCCGGGCGACGGUUGUCCCGGUUUAAGCGUGUAGGCUGGUUUUCCAGGCAAAUCCGGAAAAUCAAGGCUGAGGCGUGAUGACGAGGCACUACGGUGCUGAAGCAACAAAUGCCCUGCUUCCAGGAAAAGCCUCUAAGCAUCAGGUAACAUCAAAUCGUACCCCAAACCGACACAGGUGGUCAGGUAGAGAAUACCAAGGCGCUUGAGAGAACUCGGGUGAAGGAACUAGGCAAAAUGGUGCCGUAACUUCGGGAGAAGGCACGCUGAUAUGUAGGUGAAGCGACUUGCUCGUGGAGCUGAAAUCAGUCGAAGAUACCAGCUGGCUGCAACUGUUUAUUAAAAACACAGCACUGUGCAAACACGAAAGUGGACGUAUACGGUGUGACGCCUGCCCGGUGCCGGAAGGUUAAUUGAUGGGGUCAGCGCAAGCGAAGCUCUUGAUCGAAGCCCCGGUAAACGGCGGCCGUAACUAUAACGGUCCUAAGGUAGCGAAAUUCCUUGUCGGGUAAGUUCCGACCUGCACGAAUGGCGUAAUGAUGGCCAGGCUGUCUCCACCCGAGACUCAGUGAAAUUGAACUCGCUGUGAAGAUGCAGUGUACCCGCGGCAAGACGGAAAGACCCCGUGAACCUUUACUAUAGCUUGACACUGAACAUUGAGCCUUGAUGUGUAGGAUAGGUGGGAGGCUUUGAAGUGUGGACGCCAGUCUGCAUGGAGCCGACCUUGAAAUACCACCCUUUAAUGUUUGAUGUUCUAACGUUGACCCGUAAUCCGGGUUGCGGACAGUGUCUGGUGGGUAGUUUGACUGGGGCGGUCUCCUCCUAAAGAGUAACGGAGGAGCACGAAGGUUGGCUAAUCCUGGUCGGACAUCAGGAGGUUAGUGCAAUGGCAUAAGCCAGCUUGACUGCGAGCGUGACGGCGCGAGCAGGUGCGAAAGCAGGUCAUAGUGAUCCGGUGGUUCUGAAUGGAAGGGCCAUCGCUCAACGGAUAAAAGGUACUCCGGGGAUAACAGGCUGAUACCGCCCAAGAGUUCAUAUCGACGGCGGUGUUUGGCACCUCGAUGUCGGCUCAUCACAUCCUGGGGCUGAAGUAGGUCCCAAGGGUAUGGCUGUUCGCCAUUUAAAGUGGUACGCGAGCUGGGUUUAGAACGUCGUGAGACAGUUCGGUCCCUAUCUGCCGUGGGCGCUGGAGAACUGAGGGGGGCUGCUCCUAGUACGAGAGGACCGGAGUGGACGCAUCACUGGUGUUCGGGUUGUCAUGCCAAUGGCACUGCCCGGUAGCUAAAUGCGGAAGAGAUAAGUGCUGAAAGCAUCUAAGCACGAAACUUGCCCCGAGAUGAGUUCUCCCUGACUCCUUGAGAGUCCUGAAGGAACGUUGAAGACGACGACGUUGAUAGGCCGGGUGUGUAAGCGCAGCGAUGCGUUGAGCUAACCGGUACUAAUGAACCGUGAGGCUUAACCUUACAACGCCGAAG